rnacentral:rRNA from 1 species
GACGAACGCUGGCGGCGUGCCUAAUACAUGCAAGUAGAACGCUGAAGAGAGGAGCUUGCUCUUCUUGGAUGAGUUGCGAACGGGUGAGUAACGCGUAGGUAACCUGCCUGGUAGCGGGGGAUAACUAUUGGAAACGAUAGCUAAUACCGCAUGAAAUUGCUUAUCGCAUGAUAAUUGAUUGAAAGAUGCAAUUGCAUCACUACCAGAUGGACCUGCGUUGUAUUAGCUAGUUGGUGAGGUAACGGCUCACCAAGGCGACGAUACAUAGCCGACCUGAGAGGGUGAUCCGCCACCCUGGGACUGAGACACGGCCCAGACUCCUACGGGAGGCAGCAGUAGGGAAUCUUCGGCAAUGGGGGGAACCCUGACCGAGCAACGCCGCGUGAGUGAAGAAGGUUUUCGGAUCGUAAAGCUCUGUUGUAAGAGAAGAACGGGUGUGAGAGUGGAAAGUUCACACUGUGACGGUAUCUUACCAGAAAGGGACGGCUAACUACGUG